AACGAACGCUGGCGGCAUGCCUAACACAUGCAAGUCGAACGAGACCUUCGGGUCUAGUGGCGCACGGGUGCGUAACGCGUGGGAACCUGCCCUUAGGUUCGGAAUAACUCCCCGAAAGGGGUGCUAAUACCGGAUAAUGUCUUCGGACCAAAGAUUUAUCGCCUUUGGAUGGGCCCGCGUUGGAUUAGCUAGUUGGUAGGGUAAAAGCCUACCAAGGCGACGAUCCAUAGCUGGUCUGAGAGGAUGAUCAGCCACACUGGGACUGAGACACGGCCCAGACGACGACGGGAGGCAGGAGUGGAAAAUAGGGCACAGUGGAGGAAAGGAUGACCCAGAAGUGGGGAAGGAGUGAAGAAGGAGUGAGGGUUAUAAUGAUAUUUUACGGGGGAAGAAAAUGAAAGAACGGGGAGAGUAAGCGCCAGCAAACGCAGUCACAGCAGAAGGGGAAAGAGUAGGAAGAGAACACGUAUGAAA
rnacentral:rRNA from 1 species